AUUGAACGCUGGCGGCAGGCCUAACACAUGCAAGUCGAACGGUAACAGGAAGAAGCUUGCUUCUUUGCUGACGAGUGGCGGACGGGUGAGUAAUGUCUGGGAAACUGCCUGAUGGAGGGGGAUAACUACUGGAAACGGUAGCUAAUACCGCAUAACGUCGCAAGACCAAAGAGGGGGACCUUCGGGCCUCUUGCCAUCGGAUGUGCCCAGAUGGGAUUAGCUAGUAGGUGGGGUAACGGCUCACCUAGGCGACGAUCCCUAGCUGGUCUGAGAGGAUGACCAGCCACACUGGAACUGAGACACGGUCAGACUCCUACGGGAGGCAGCAGUGGGGAAUAUUGCACAAUGGGCGCAAGCCUGAUGCAGCCAUGCCGCGUGUACGAAGAAGGCCUUCGGGUUGUAAAGUACUUUCAGCGGGGAGGAAGGGAGUAAAGUUAAUACCUUUGCUCAUUGACGUUACCCGCAGAAGAAGCACCGGCUAACUCCGUG
rnacentral:rRNA from 1 species